GGCGGACGGGGGGGUUUUUUUACACUGUAACGAGAGCGCCAGGGAAGGGAGAGAGGGGGAGGACAUCGUUUCCUUUCCGUAGCGCGCACACGCCGCAAGAAUACACCGAACUGAUUGGGAGAGGGAGGGAAAGAGGCGAGAGAAGAAAGGAAAUCGAGGAGCAAAACACGACUCGACUUCUUUGUUUUAGAAAAAUCGCCUGUAACGGACGAAUGGAGGUCUGAGACGAUGAACACGCUUUUCCGAAUGUCUCCUCCUGACAGCCAUCUUUAGAUCCAAAGGGGGUUUUUUCCGCUUGCGGGCUAAUUUUGUAGGAUUAGGAGAACGUUGAGGAAAUUUGCCCUUCCACUGAGGUAGGCUGUGGACCAUGUUUGAGGAAUAGCCCUUUAGCCUCCGUACGCCUCUCAAGCAAUUCUUGGAACAUAUGCGCAUAUUUGCCACUUUGAACGCUUAUUGUUCAAAUCGGUUCUUUGUUUACAACACAUUUUUCGUUUAUUCCUCGUCUUUUGCCCAUUUUAUUUGUCAUCAUUUCGGAGCACAUUCCAUUUUUACCUUUGGCAGACCGCAGUGAUUCGGGCGCAGGCUACGAUAUUUUGUAAUCUCUUAUUCGCGUUUAGGCCUGUAAUGAAUUUGCAUCAAAUGUUGCAUUAAAUCCGCAUCGAGCUAAUGCGAUCUUUGAUACAGUACGGCAGAUACGUGACUACAAGAUUAUCCAGCAGUCGGGGCUAUUUGAAGUAUCUUUAAAAACGAGUUUUAAUGCGUCGGUUUUCCACUCGUUUUAAGAUACAUUAACUCAGCAAAACGUUGAACCACGGCUGGGCGCUGUUAACAGACACCCUAAGAGAAUUGUUAGAUAAACUUAGGAAUUGUCGAUCCAAAGCAAAACGGCUAACAGGAAGGUUAAAAUAAUUCAGUACUAAAGCGAAUAAGUAAGCCCCUAGCAGGACGAACGUCGGUGAAUUUCAAUGUUAAUGUCGACCGACGUUGCAUCCAUCAUGCUGCCCGUUACUCGGGGGAUAAUGGACCGGGAUAGGGACUUGGAUACAAUGCCAGGAGUGCACUCGAACCCGGCCGCCGGACCCUCGGCAGUGCGGGGUAUGAAAAGGGGGGACCCGGAGCCCGAUGCGCAGAAUGCGGCUUCUCUCGCUGAAUCAGUGGGGGCUGAUUGCAAACGUCCACGCAUUGAUGGAAAUGGAGGGGAAAUUGGACAGAACAACGAUCCCUUGAACAUGGGUUUCCAUGGAUACCCCUCAGCGAGUCAGGGUUCUCAGGACACGAUGGGGACUCAGGAGGGUCUUGUCCCCCCUCCAUUCUCUGCCUUCC
ensembl:lncRNA